rnacentral:rRNA from 1 species
AGAGUUUGAUCAUGGCUCAGAUUGAACGCUGGCGGCAGGCCUAACACAUGCAAGUCGAGCGGUAACACAGGGAGCUUGCUCCUGGGUGACGAGCGGCGGACGGGUGAGUAAUGUCUGGGAAACUGCCUGAUGGAGGGGGAUAACUACUGGAAACGGUAGCUAAUACCGCAUAACGUCGCAAGACCAAAGAGGGGGACCUUCGGGCCUCUUGCCAUCAGAUGUGCCCAGAUGGGAUUAGCUAGUAGGUGGGGUAACGGCUCACCUAGGCGACGAUCCCUAGCUGGUCUGAGAGGAUGACCAGCCACACUGGAACUGAGACACGGUCUAGACUCCUACGGGAGCCAGCAGUGGGGAAUAUUGCACAAUGGGCGCAAGCCUGAUGCAGCCAUGCCGCGUGUAUGAAGAAGGCCUUCGGGUUGUAAAGUACUUUCAGCGGGGAGGAAGGUGUUGAGGUUAAUAACCUCAGCAAUUGACGUUACCCGCAGAAGAAGCACCGGCUAACUCCGUGCCAGCAGCCGCGGUAAUACGGAGGGUGCAAGCGUUAAUCGGAAUUACUGGGCGUAAAGCGCACGCAGGCGGUCUGUCAAGUCGGAUGUGAAAUCCCCGGGCUCAACCUGGGAACUGCAUUCGAAACUGGCAGGCUAGAGUCUUGUAGAGGGGGGUAGAAUUCCAGGUGUAGCGGUGAAAUGCGUAGAGAUCUGGAGGAAUACCGGUGGCGAAGGCGGCCCCCUGGACAAAGACUGACGCUUCAGGUGCGAAAGC